rfam:Danio rerio chromosome 4, GRCz11 reference primary assembly.
GGCUGGUUAGCUCAGCUGGUUAGAGCGUGGUGCUAAUAAUGCCAAGGUCGCGGGUUCGAACUUCGUACUGGAUA